ACACAGCUUGUCACCAUACUUCCUCCACGGGAGCCUGACAUGGGCCUCGGGCACGCACGGCUGUCUUGGAGUAAUAUCAUUAACCAUGGAGGUGCCCAGUGGGAGACUGGGUCAGGGGCGGAUGAGGCCUUCCCUAGGGCUGGCCACCUGCUGGGGCUGGGCAGGGCACUGGAGCAGGUCUGCGAGCUCUGCUGGGUGGCCUUGGGCAAGCUGGUACCUUCUCAGAGCUGUAGCCUUGGCCCUGGGCCCUCCCAGCGCCUGGCACGAGGGCUCAGCGGGCAGCCGGAUGGAGGAGGAGGAGCAGCUUCCUCAGCACAUUGAGGAGGCCUGGACACCGUCCAUCCUGCUGACUUCCCAGGCUGUGGGGCAGAUGCUGCCGCUCGGAACCCACCCGUGCCCUGCAGACGUACAGGUGUGAGAAGUCUCCUCCCUCAUCAUCCCCUUCAGGCAGCAGCUACUGCUGAGGAGUUGGGGCCGCAUGUUGUGAGGGCCCCAUUCACAGCUUGGGAGCCAGGCUGCAGUGUUCAAGCUCAGCCCCUCUACCUCCUCCCUCCUCCUCUGGUUGGUGAGAAUGUGCUAGUCCUCCGGCUGGGUGUUGAAGGGACUCAACGAGCUAACGCGUCCAGCAUACCCAGCGCUUGGAAGUCGACACAGGCGUGACUGAGGGGAUUUGUCAUCGCCAUGAUUACUACUACAGCCACCCGAUUUACUGCUGUCUUUAGGAGUUUUCUGAUCAGACACACUGAGGACACGCAUGGUGAUUAUGUCUGUGGGUCAGUGUUAGUGUUAGCUAGUCAGUGUUGCCGUUGACUUAUCCCUUGUUUUGGAUUCCAUAACAUCUUCCCACUCAAAACUUUCAGCCGGGUUUCCACAAUCGCACGACUCGAAGCAUCCUCUAAGCUUUCCAGAGAGGGGCAGUUGUUUGUGUUAAUUGUGUCUUAUUUCCUAAUGAAUUUUUGUAUCUUAUAUGUAAAUAUUAUCAUGCAUGUUUUAAAGUAGAAUUCCCUUUCAGAUGGCUCUGACCUCAUCUACUUGUGUCUUGGGCAUUUUUUCCUUCUCUUUGAAAACACUCAAUACGUCAUUUGGACUGCCUUCAGCAGAAACCGAAUACAGUCAACAGUGCCUCGAAAAAUCAGUUUAGAGUGUCAGAUUCUAUAAUCUGCGAACUGGCAUACGAAAAUGUUAUCAUUUUGUUCCAGGACCCCCUAAGAGUAAACGGAGGCUCUCCUUUGAAAAAUAUUGAGUUGUAAGAGUUACUUGGAUCUAAGAAGACAUUUUUUAAAAAGCUGCAUGGAGGCUCAGAGCAUCCCACUGAUGAGCCUCCCUCCUAGAGCUUAACCCUGGGAAAUUACCCAGGACACAGAGGCUGGGGAGGAGUUAAAAUAAUGAAAAUGUUGUUCACGAAGGGCACCAUUGCUUGUCACAGCAAUGAAGAGAAAAAAGUGGAUUUCCACCACGCACAGCACGUGGUAGGCACUCUGUUUGCAGAACAGAUUUGAAAAAGUUCAGCCUAAGGAAUGACCUGUCAAUAAUGCCACACACGCUGGACGGAAUAUUACACAGCAGGCAGAACAUGCUGAGUAUUUUGUGAUAAAAUCAGAACACAGGUCUGUGUGUGCCUUGUAACUGAAAUACUGCAAAUAUGCUCACACAGGGACCAGGGCUAGACAGGAACAGAGGAGGCAGUGGACCUGGUGGAUGGUUAAGGUGCAGCUUCUUUUCUUCUUCUUAGCGUUGUUGUUCUCAAUUGUUUCAUUAUUUUUAAAGGAUUCCAAGAAGAACUGAGGAUACAUUAGCGUAUCAGGAAGGGCAUUUAUUGAUCGUAUGUGGAUUGCUACGUUUCUAUCUAAGAUAGAUUCCAGGUCACAGGGUGGGUUAACCCACUGGGCUUGAUCUCAAGCCCAGUCUCUGGUCUGUAACUUGGCGGCUCACACGCACCCUCUUUGGGCUUCUCCAGCUCUGCCCUGUCCAUCAGCCCGUCCCACUUCACUCCUGCUGGGAAUUCCUAGGCAAGUCCUCUCCACAGAAGGCAGCUGCUGGGUGCAAAAGUUCUUUUGCUGUGUGUCUCGUGGGGACUGCAGAGUCCAGCUAAUUCCAUUGUGUUGUUCUUUGCCUCAUUCUAUUUGGGUCUCCUGUUUGAAGUAACACUCUGGGUUUUAGAGUGGUUUCCAUCCUCCCAAAUAGGUUGGUUCCUGGGGACAACGUGGGGCCAGUGUGACUCAUGCCCAGCAGCGGGAGAAAGAGGUAACUACCCUGGUCCAUUCACAGGAGGUGCUCGUGUGUCCUUCCUGACCAAGUGCAAAGCGAUGGGCAAGUGCCGGUUUUCUCUCAGCCCAUGUGUACUCUCCACCAUGUCAGGCCAGAGACUCACCUCUACCUGGCCAUAAACUCAGCCUGCCCCCCCGGCCCCCCAUCAAACGCAGCUUCCCCCAAUUAACCCAGAAGUCGCGGGCUGUGUCCGGAUCAUCGGACGGCUGCUUCACAGUGAGGAACAACACAGUGCCAAGUACAGCUUCAGCCUCGCACCUGCUGCCUGUGGGAGCUGCCAAGGUAACUGGCACCUCCUUCACCCAUACCUGCUGCUGCUGGCAGCCUCGGGCUUGCAGGCUCUGGCAUCCCAGCUGGCUGGCAUGGGACUGGAGGGUGGCUCUGUCACCCGCCGUGGCUCUUGGAAGUGUGCCCGGCGGAGGGCUCGCAGAGCAGCUGUAGAGCAGGCAUAUCUGCUGGAGGUUGACAAGGCUCUGCAUGCCGAGGGGAGCACCGGCAGCUCUGCCUGUGCCGGGAGCAUGACCAGGGAGCUUCCAGGAGCUCGGCCUCGUUCACCGUGGAUGGUUAUACACAAAUUCUAAAGACUCCAUCAGUUGGGACAAGAGCCAUUGCAAACAUCCCACCUUGUGCCAUUUUAAGACCUCCAGACAUAAAACCAGCGAGAACCACAAUGCCACUUCCCUCCCACAGAGCUGGAAGCCCACAGCAGAUGCAUAGUUUGGAACUCAAGUCAAAUAGAGUCUCGUUUCAUCCUUUCUGACCCCAGACAAGUGAGUUCACGUCGUGAGUCUCAGUCUCCCUGUCUGCACGGGAACAGCUGGAAUGGGGAUUAAAGAAGCAACCCAGCCAGUGUCUGGAAGAGACCCAGCACGUGGCGGCCACGGUGAAGCUGUGUCUGCCAUUUUCACCUUCCAGCGCUGCUGCCUGUGCCUGUAAAACUUGGCUGCUCAUCACCUUUCUAGAACUUCUGCCCUCAUCCCUUCAUUGCUGCUGGCAUGGAGCAACCUGCUUCCUUAGCCAGCACUGGCUGAUCUCAGGGGAGGUCCCCGCAGCACCCACACCUCUUAGUCUGACCCAUUCUGCCCCUCCUUCCCCCUCAGCUCCUGCAGCUCCUUGGCCCGGCCUCCCAGAGGGCGCACAUGGGGGCUUCUGCCGUGCUAGAGCAGCAGCUGCAUUUCAGUGGUCUCUGUGCCUGCUCUCAGCCCCACAGGAUCCUGGGCUCCCCUGUUAAGCAGGCGGGGCAGGGAGCAUCAGUCACUUGUAAAGGAGCUGGGGCAGCCUGGAGUUAGGCCCCAGGGCUCCUGCUCUGCCAGUUCCAGGCUUACCCCCUUCAGUGCUGGCCCCUGAGGAGGUGCCGGGUCAGCCUGGAGGAGGAGAGCCCUGGUGAUGAGGGCCCUUGGGGGCUGUAGGGUGGCGCUGUUGGCUGACCAGGGUGGACUCACUUCCCAGUUUGAGCCACUCGUACAGUUGCACGGCACCGCUGGCUGCAGAAGUUCCCCGCCCAGCCACGUGCACGCCUGGUCUGGAUGCAGCCUGGCAUCGCGCCGAUGCUCAGGAGAGGUCUGGAAAGGAACUCUGGCACUGGAGGGGUUCAGUUACUGCAGGAGUUUAUAGAUAGCGAGGGAUUCGCUGAAAAGGACCAAUUCUCAUGCAGUCAGUGAGACACAGUUGGCGAAGAGUAAAUUGAGGAGGUGUGUGCUGGUUUUCCGUGGGUCAGGUCCGAGGUCAUGCCCCUAUUUCCAUCCCUAAGGUGUCAGUAAAAGCUGCAGGCAGGGGCACUGAUGGUGGAGGAGGGGUCCUCUGGGAUUGCGCCCAGCCCAGCUUCAUUCUGGAACGAUCUGCUAGUGAGUGUCACAGCCCCCAGCACCAGUGGGCUCAGAAUACCAGCAAGCCGUGGCAGGCAGCUGAACCCACAUGUGGAAGGGCUGGUUGGGAGACGCGGCUCAGGGCGUGGAUGCAGAGAGGUGGGCACAGGCACCGGGGGUGGCCCUAGGGGUGCUGCCCCUGUGGGUUCAGACACAGAAAAUCAGUUGCCUCUGUUGCCGCCAGCCCUCUCCGCCCACAGGGCACACUGCCAGGGCUGAGUCUGGGGGUGAGGUGGAGUUAAGGAGAUGCCCAAGCCCAUGGGUAACGCACAGGUGAAAUGACACAGCUCCUGCACUGGGUCGGGCUGCAGUCAAGGUCCAGCUGCUGGCAUUGGAGAAUGUCAGAGGUGCCCAGGACGUGCAGGGUGGGUGCCAUGCCACCCCAACCCCUCUGGGGCAUUGGUGCACGGAUCAGGGGACAGCCUGGGAAGCUCAGAGAAGACAAGCCUGGAGCCACUGCGUGGCCCAACACUGAGUUUUCUGAUGUUGCUAUAAUCUUGGGCGAGUUACUUAAUGUUCCUUGGGACUCAGUUUCCUGGUCAGCGAAAUGGGAAGGUGUCCUCCUGUUCUGAAGUGAUAGUAAGGUCUCGGUGAGGUUCCCUUCACUCUGUCCUCUGCUGGUGUCCAGAGCAUGGUGGGCAAUGAUCUCGCUAACUCCUCCCCAAACAGCUUUCGUGCUGAAGGGCAUCCUGCUCUCUCCCUGUAUCUCUGUGGGUCGUGGGUUCAGAUCCUGCUGCCUUCGCUGCUGCGUAUUUGGGUGACUUGCCUGGCAGGGUCUCCUCGUCCCUAACACUGGGCACCCCCUCCGGCACCGGGCUGCACUUCCUUCCCCUCUGUUCACCCACCUCGCUGGCGCCUGAUGCCCCCUUUCACACUCAGAAUCUGGAGCGCCUUCUGGAAUUUUAUUGAACAACUUCACUGUCCCACAAUUGCCCUGUGUCACCUUAGUUCCCUCUUCCUCUCUGAUCCUGGGAGGGUUUGUUAGAAAGUCUGGGUACCUCUUCGCGGGUUCUGUGGAGCCAUCGGGUCCUGGGCGCCACAGCGGUCUGUGUGUCUUCUCAUCUCACAGCACAGACCUAGCCUGAACUGGAACGUGACCGAAGCUCAGAAUGAAUUCCCCUGGGAAAACACAUCUGCAGCACCUGUCACCUCUGCUGAGACUGAGGUUCCAGUCUGGGGUUCCCUUUGGGCAAGUCCCUUUCCCACUGGGCCUCAGUUUCCCCAUAUAUAAAGUGCAGGUGUGAAUACAUGUACCCUCAAGAGGGGUUCUGGGGUCCACUCAAGGGGCCUUGCAGCUGCCAAGUGCAGAACAGGUGCUGGCACUCAGCCUCGCAGCUGUUAGGGACACAGCGGCUGCGUCUUCAAGCAAGGGGUGGUCCAUGCCGUAAGCAGGGGACAAGCUGGAGCACACCGGCUUCCCUUCAGUGGCACAGUGACACAGGCAGUGCCACCUGCCCACCACUCUGUUCCUGCUUCGUGCAUGUUCUACACACACCUCUGGAAUCCUCAGGACAGGCACAGGAGGUCCGCUUCAUUAACCCUUUGUUCAGAUAGAAAAAAAUCCUAAGUCUCAGAAAGGUGUAAACCUUGCCCAAGGCCAGAGCUUGCAGGCGGGUGCUGCCUUUCACACCUGCGCGUGUGACUUCCGUGUUCGCAAGUGGGAGUGGGGCGAGCAGGGGCUCCUCACCCUGAGGAGGAGGGGUGGGCACUGCACAUACGUCCCCGCCAAUGGAGUAAUUAUAGGGGAGGAAAAUGGCUUCAUUAAAUCAUUUUUAAGAAGUGAAUAUGUACAAACACUCAGCAGUUAAGCAGCCGAUUUGCAGACAGCAAUUUUCCAACUGCGCUUGCCUUCCAUGUUUCUAUUUGCCCGUUUUUAGACUCUGGUUUUUUAUUUUUAAUUGGAAUAAAUGUAGAUUGGAAUGAUCA